AAUGCCACAGCCCCAGUCAACAUAUUCUUAAAGAGAUCACAUAUCAAUCCUUACUGAAAUUCAAUAUUGAAAUAAAAUACACUAAAUUGCCAUGACA